rnacentral:rRNA from 1 species
GCUACACAUGCAGUCGACGAGACCUUCGGGUCUAGUGGCGGACGGGUGAGUAACGCGUGGGAACAUACCCUUUGGUACGGAAUAGCCUCGGGAAACUGGGAGUAAUACCGUAUGUGCCCUUCGGGGGAAAGAUUUAUCGCCAAAGGAUUGGCCCGCGUUGGAUUAGGUAGUUGGUGGGGUAAUGGCCUACCAAGCCGACGAUCCAUAGCUGGUUUGAGAGGAUGAUCAGCCACACUGGGACUGAGACACGGCCCAGACUCCUACGGGAGGCAGCAGUGGGGAAUCUUAGACAAUGGGCGCAAGCCUGAUCUAGCCAUGCCGCGUGAUCGAUGAAGGCCUUAGGGUUGUAAAGAUCUUUCAGAUGGGAAGAUAAUGACGGUACCAUCAGAAGAAGCCCCGGCUAACUCCGUGCCAGCNGCCGCGGUAAUACGGAGGGGGCUAGCGUUAUUCGGAAUUACUGGG